rnacentral:rRNA from 1 species
UACGGGGGGGGUAAGCGUUGUUCGGAACUACUGGGCGUAAAGGGCUCGUAGGCGGCCAACUAAGUCAUACGUGAAAUCCCUCGGCUUAACCGGGGAACUGCGUCUGAUACUGGAUGGCUUGAGUUCGGGAGAGGGAUGCGGAAUUCCAGGUGUAGCGGUGAAAUGCGUAGAUAUCUGGAGGAACACCGGUGGCGAAGGCGGCAUCCUGGACCGAUACUGACGCUGAGGAGCGAAAGCCAGGGGAGCAAACGGG